AUGCAACGGCUUGAUAUUAUUGAAAAUAAAAUUGCCACUAUUGAGUUAGUUGAAAAUUUGGAUAAAAAGAUCCAUAAUCACAUUACCCAAUUUGGAUCCAGGGUUGGAGUUACUUUGAAAAAUCUUAAAGAAAAAGAACCUAUAGUCAAUGAAAAAAUAGAUCUAGACUCUGCUAGAAUCGGUAAACUUGAGAAUAUCAUGACAAACUUAGGUUCCGCGUUUUCCUCCAUGAAAAACACUUCAAAAACCCCUAUUAAAACUGCCAAGUUUAUUUAUGUUCCUAAAAAUAAGGGUGAAUCCUCGAGUAAAGGAGACGCGGAUCUCAAAUCCAUAAGUGUUCUUCCCAAUUGUUUUUCUAUCAUUAAGGAACCUUUUGCUGCCAAUGAAUUUCUUGAAUUUUUGCCUAAAAAUUUAGCCAUUGCUAAAAGGGUAGAAAUCCCUAGAGAUCACAAGCGCUCUACUUACGAAUUUAGUGCCAAAGAUGGCGUUAAACGAUAG
rnacentral:rRNA from 1 species